GAAGAGGGCUUUAGAGGAUUUAUUUGGACAGGGCUGUGCUGAGAGUCCCACCCUCACCCCACAAUGGGCGGGGGCACUGGCAUCGAACACCAAGCUGAGUGAGAAGGGCUCCUCCAGGCCUCGCAGGGAGCUUGCUGGCUUCUCCUGGCUCACAGCAGACUGGGCCCGACUCCCAUCGGAGGAAGGCCAGCAUCCUAGGGCAGCCAGUGGAGGGCUGGCAGAGGGCUGUGCCUGGGAGGUCACUGUGCUAUCUUCCAACCACACUGUGUGAGUCUCAGAUACCAUAUGUGGAAUCUGCAUCAGGAAGGUCAGCUUGAGGUCAUUUUAAAAGGGAUUCUUCGGAAAAAGUCUCACUGAAGGGUUGGCAGGACCCUGAUGGUAAGAGUACCAAGCCCAGCGUGGGUGACCCAUUCCACCAGAGGUCCAGUUCAGUACAUGCCUUACUGCCGGCCUCCACCCCUCUCUUGCCUGCUAGCAAGUGGGCUGUGGGAGGGUGACAUCGGGGAGGAACGCCCGGCCAAAAGGUUAUUGUUAAUCUUUACCUAUGCACUUCUUCUUCAUAUCAUUCCCUCCUCACCUUCUUCUUUCCCCAUCCUUCCUUGAUGAUUUCUUCUUGAAUUUCCUGUUUGCUUUAAGACACUCUGAAGUUCUUCGAUUUCAUUAUAGCUAGCUUUUUUUGAAUGCCCGCUACAUAGGAGGGUGGUCUCUUUCACACACCUUACCUCAUUUAAUCUUCAUGGGAUCCCUGCAAAUUAGGUGGCAUUAUUCUCAUUGUGCAGAGGCUGAAGCUGAGGCACUCAAGCUGACACAUUUCUCCAAGUCACAUACAUGGCAGGAGAGGGAUCUGGACCUAGUGCUGCCUCCUUGCUAGGGCUGGCCCUGAAGCGUGGCCUUUCUGUGACAGUGAUCAUGAAUACAGGGAAGCCUCUGGCAUUCUGAAUGCAUUAACCUUCUGAUUAAUUGUCUUUGGGAAACUUGAGCUUUGCAAGGUUCCUAUCAAACUUCUUUAUUUUUCUUUUUAGUUGACUGAUGGGAAAGGUGUUGGAUACUUAGAAACAGUUUGACUUCUGAAACAAAAAUAUUUAGAGCUACUUAAGUUGAUCCAUGUUAGCUCUGGGUGGUCAACUCACUUAGCAAAACUUAACGCUGAUGAUGAAGCUUCUAAAAUGUUUUCGUAGGAGCUCUUGUGUAAGUGUCAUACUGAACAC
rnacentral:lncRNA from 1 species